AUGUCCCUGUCUCUGUUCUUCUUUGAAGGAAAUUGGUUACAAACAUUGCUCUUUCACUUCUACCAUCUUCACCUUCAAUUUUCAAAACCACUCAACUUCUUAGCUACUUUUAGGGUUCCUUUCAUUCUCAAUUUGAUUCAAAUUUGCUACUCAAUUGUUGCUCAACUCUAUCUAUUCAGGAAACAUAAGAUUCUUGGAGGUGAUUCACUGUGA